CCAUGCGUGUGUGGAUUCGAUUGAUGUCACAUCGCAGACUUUCAGCAGCAGUGGAGAUUGAAGAUUACAUUGGUGGUUUAUUAUAAGCGAGUUUGAUCAUCGCAUAUAAUUUUUCUCAAGGUUUUAUCCUCCAAUUUUAUCCAUCGCGAGGGAGUAAUUGCCGUGGGAAGUAAAUUUACUGUUUGUUAGCGAGUGCAACUUACUGGAAGCGGAAUAUUCGGAUUCAGUCAAUUGGUUCUGGGUGUUGUCGCAGGAAAAUUGAGCAGCAAACAUGCAGGCCAUCAAGUGUGUCGUAGUCGGUGAUGGUGCGGUCGGUAAAACCUGUCUCUUGAUCAGCUACACCACCAAUGCAUUCCCCGGUGAAUAUAUUCCGACCGUAUUCGAUAAUUACUCCGCCAAUGUGAUGGUCGAUGGAAAACCUAUCAACCUAGGCCUGUGGGAUACGGCUGGACAAGAAGAUUACGAUCGGCUGCGGCCACUGUCCUAUCCCCAGACGGACGUAUUUCUUAUAUGCUUCUCGCUGGUUAAUCCGGCAUCCUUUGAGAACGUGCGGGCCAAAUGGUAUCCGGAAGUACGCCAUCACUGUCCGAACAUUCCGAUAAUUCUGGUCGGAACGAAGCUUGAUUUGCGGGACGACAAAAACACCGUGGACAAGCUGCGUGACAAAAAGCUAUCGCCCAUCACCUAUCCGCAGGGUUUAGCCAUGGCCAAAGAGAUCGGUGCGGUCAAAUAUUUGGAAUGCUCGGCGCUCACCCAGAAGGGUCUCAAAACCGUGUUCGACGAAGCGAUUCGAGCCGUCCUCUGUCCCAUCAUACCGGUGAAAAACAAACGUAAAUGUUCAAUUCUGUAAGCAUGUCCUCCCGGUUCCAAAUGUCCCUACCACCAACCCCACAACCACAUUUGCAAAAAACAACGCUAAGAACAAAAGUACAUUAGUAGGCCGGGUGCCAUUGUCCCCAGCAAAAACCAAAACACAACCAUCGAGCAUUAGAAUCCCUCCUUUGUCCUUGUUCUCUCUCGUUGUGGUAUUGAAAGCGACGUUUUCUUGCAUUUUACAUAUAAAAAAAAAGUAACCGCCGUUGAGCGAAACAUUGUAACUGCUAUUGUGCAGCAAAUGGUUGUUAGUAUUUUUUGGCAGAGAAGAAAAGGUUUAAGCAGAAAAGUGUCGAAUAAUGUCAUGGAAGCAGUAGGAGGUUUAAAUCGAAUAUCGAAGCUGGAUGCCGUCAAGCAACUUUAACGAAAACACAGAGGGAGAGACACAGGAACCGGAAACGAGGCUGAUCAAUUGAGCAGAUUGGCCUCUUAUAAAUGGCACACUCAAACACCGAAACCACACAAAUCAAAGUGAAUGCAACUAGCUACUAGAGUUACUCUUUCUCUAAUGUCAUCGUCAUUCUGCAACCGUUCUCUUUCCGUGCAUUUGGAAGUGUUCGAGGUUUCAUUAGAAAUCGUACGCAAAAAGCAUUGAGCAAGAACCACUUCUUGAAUUUGUAUUUGUUUCUGUUUUUUUUGUUCCUUAAGGACAAAAGUUAAAAAUGUAGUAAAAAUUACCGUUAAAGUAAUUUUGAAUAUGGAGGUGAAAAGUGGAAAAAUCAAAACUAUCAAUGAUGCCGAAAACAAGGAAGAGACGCGAUAUAUAACAAUUGUUUUCUUUAUGUGCUUUUGAAGUAAAAGAAGUAUAGCUUUAGUUCUACUAUUGUAUAAACCGACUAUAAUUUUUCGAAGCGAAAAGUAAAACCAUGAAGAGAAAACCGGUUGGUAGGAAAAAUAUAUCAAGAUAAAACAAUGUUCUUAUCUAAUGUAAAUCUAAUGUUUUGUUUACAACUAAUCCAUUAAUCAAAAACGCCGAAGGGGAAGUUUUGUGAGGAACUACAGAAACGUUAAGGGAGAAGAAGCGUAAUUACAUACACACAAACACACAUAAAAAUAGCAUGUACGUUCACUGUAACAAUGAUUAUUGAUUGAAUGUUGUAACUUGAGAUUUUCCUUUUUGUUAAUUGCUAACAAAACAAUGUUCUACCACUUUUUAGAACUUUUUUCCCGAAGCGCGACAAUGUAAACGAAGAUAGAAUAUUGAAAGAAAGCAAACAAACGAUCGCUUUUUUCUCUGAUUUUGUGUUUUGCAAAUAAAAGAUAGUGGAAAAGUGAAAGGCUCUUCCAGCAACCAAACCCAAUUUGGCUCUUAGAUGUUUUAAUGAAGUGAAAAAUUGUAAGCCUAUAAAAUCUGUCGUAUUAGUAACAAAAAAAAAGAAAAGAUGGGAAAAUUUAUUGACAUAACAUUUUUAAUGAGUAUAAAUAAUACAAUUAUUAUUGAUUUAUUAAUAAGAAAAAUAAAAGCUGGAGAAAAUCCAAGGUGAAA